rnacentral:rRNA from 1 species
UACGGAGGGAGCUAGCGUUAUUCGGAAUUACUGGGCGUAAAGCGCACGUAGGCGGCUUUGUAAGUUAGAGGUGAAAGCCUGGAGCUCAACUCCAGAAUUGCCUUUAAGACUGCAUCGCUUGAAUCCAGGAGAGGUGAGUGGAAUUCCGAGUGUAGAGGUGAAAUUCGUAGAUAUUCGGAAGAACACCAGUGGCGAAGGCGGCUCACUGGACUGGUAUUGACGCUGAGGUGCGAAAGCGUGGGGAG